rnacentral:sRNA from 1 species
UUAUCACUCUCUAAUUGUCUCGAUCAAUCCGUCAAAACCAUGUAUUACGAGGGAGAAGAUUUCAGCGGUAAGAUAUCAUUAUCUAUCUUUAGGGCCGAUUGGUAACGACUGUUAAUUUUGGUUGUAGAGACUUUCGCUGUAGGAACUUUGACGGUAAAAACUUUGAUUAUAAAAAUUUUGACUUUAAAAAUUUUAACAGUAUAGACUUUAACGGUUAAAAUCUGAUAGGUAACACCAAAACUGUAGAAAUUGUAACUGUAAAACUUAUAAU